GUUUUCAUACAUGUUCAACAAAUCAGCUUUCAAUUCUUCAUGUUUAAUCCGAUCACGAACUCGGGCUCUAAUGGCCAUCAUAUUACCGAGAUUUGGAGGCAUAUCUAUAGCAUAGGUGAAAUCUACUUGUGAAGAGAUGGCUGAUUCUGGAUGUACGAAUUCAGAUACAUCAAACUGAGUGUACCCAUCUCGUUCGUCUUCUACUAUCAUAUUGUGAAGUAUUAUAUAUGCUCGCAUAAUAUUUCUAAUUUUCACCUUAUCAUGAAAAAGAGCUGGAUGUUUGACAAUGGCAAACCGAGCUUGCAAAACUCCAAAAGCACGCUCAACAUCUUUACGACAAGCUUCUUGAGUUAUAGCAAAUAAAGAAGCUUUAUCACCUUGUGGAAUUGAAAUUGAUUGGAUAAAUGUAAACCAUUUAGGAUAAAUUCCAUCUGUGAGGUAGUAAGCCAAAUUAUAGUCUUCUCGUUGACUACGUAUUUCACUUUCGGAGCUCGACCUUGUAAUAUAUCAUCAAAAACUGGUGAGCGAUCAAGAAUAUUGAUAUAGUUUAAGGUACCUGGAGGUCCAAAAAACGCGUGCCAUAUCCAGAGAUCUUGGGAAGCAACGACCUCUAAAACGAUUGUUGGUUUUCCUGAUCCACGUGUAUAUUGUCCUUUCCAAACAGUGAGAGAGAACAAAAAUCAAAUCAAGCCGCCAUUGUUGAAGAAGAAGAAGUUUCUUAGAUAAGUGAAUCUCAAAUUUAUGUCAAAACAAAUAU
rnacentral:sRNA from 1 species